UAACCAUGACGGGGACAUUCGAGUUCAUAACUCUUGAAUCUUCCCCAUGCAUUUUGGAAUGAUUCCUGAGGAUCUUGGUGGAAUGUGGAAAUUUGCCUUCUUACCUC